rnacentral:tRNA from 1 species
GGCCCCAUCGUCUAGUGGACCAGGACAUUGCCUUCUCAGGGCAGUAACCGGGGUUCGAAUCCCCGUGGGGUCACCA